GUGUUUUCGUUUUGGCAGGUGCUGCAGUCUACGUGCCGAGUUUUACAGUCUGAGUGGUACUUCCACCAUGGAGCCAGUUGGGCUAAGAUCUCAGGGCCAGCUGAGGUCUAGGGCCCUGUUACAAUGGGUCCACAGUAGCAAUAGAAUAAAGUAUUAACUUCGUUCUCAUUUUAGAUUGCUGUCAUUUACAGGGACUGGACUGACCGUGGGAACACUGUUAGAGCAUCGUGCUUUGAAAUCUUGUGUCUGCAGCAAGGCAGAAACACGAGAGAUGACGUGGAGAAAGCGAGCUGUUUUUCCCAUGGCAGCUAGCGAGCAGAGAAGUCACGGGGAGGAGCCGAGCCAGAGUCAAGAUACACUCUUCAAAGGCAUGUCCCCGCCAUCCACUUCCUCCAACCGUAGCCCUACCAGCUCUACAAAGUAUAUUCAACUCUUCAAUUCAUCAGUCAAUUACACCAUGUAUCAGGUCAGAGACCCCAGGAGCGAAUCAUCCUUGGAAAGGCCAUCACAGACAUACCCCAAGGUUGUAUUUUACUGAUCCCUAGGGGUCUUUUAUUUCAAGCAAGAUCGCAGUCGUGAUGAAUCAUCACACACGUUAUCAGAGAAAUGAAAAGAAAUGUAACAGACACUCGAGGGCCUCUUCUCUUGAAGAUUCAGGUGUGUGCAGGACAUUUUCACUAACUGGACCCCUACUUCCUGCUUACUACACCCACGGUUUAUCAGAGAUUCUAAUACAUCUGACCUACUGUCCCCCAAAGCAUUCAGUGUGAUGAUUUCUUGAAGACACAUCUCAUGGGUAGACAGAGUCAGGAUAAUCUGUUGAAUGAUUGAAUCAGCAUUGAAUAUCUGAACUUAUUCAUGACUAAUAAUAGAGAUUUGGAGGGGGGGAAAGGCAAAAAGACAUACAAUAGCUCACAGAGUUGUCCACUGGGGAUUUUCUGAGACAAGGAGGUUCAGUAGGUCAUAGAACAAGAGACUAGAAGAGACAUGUGUCGCCCCUUCCCACAGACGGCUUUGUUUUAUGGGAACUUGAGGAUGGCUGUGCAUCAGUGGCUAUGGGUAGAGAAGGACCGAGGGUCUGCAUGGCAGGAUGGAGGGCUUGAAGAGGUAGCACUACUCAUCAGAAUAGAAAGCAACUCAGAGAAGCCUCAGUAGCAUGCACUGGGUAUGAAAGGGUCACAAACGAAGCCCAGAGAUUGGCUCCUAUCCUGGAACUCAGUCAUGAGCUCACUUGGGUUCUACAGUUGUGCUAUUAGUAUCCAGAAAUAACUGAAGGCCCCUGGACGUUUUUAGCUGGAUGGAGAAGCUUGACUCUUAGUACAUCUCCGGAAAGAGAGUCAGUAACGGCGGAGGGGAGGCAUGGCGGCAGACAGCUGGAGCAAGAAGCUGAGAGACCACAUGGGGUCCACUGCCAACACAAAGCAGGGAGCCUCACUGUGGAAAUGAACCACUCUCUGCGUGCCGAGCAGUGGAUGGCCAACCGGAAAUGAACUCAAUGUCGUCUUCGGACGUGCUUUGUCUCAUAACGUUACACCGGGGAGUCCUGUUUUGUUGUGUUCCUCUACCUUGCACAUCUUUGUGUAUAUAAUGUGGUUUUCAGGUUUGGGCAUUUGUGGGAUUCCUGUGUGGGUGACUCUGUGUGUCUCUGCACUGCUAGGCAUUUUUUUGAGCUUUUCCUUUGGAU